GACAUUUUCUGCAAGUUCUAGAAGACUAACUUUAUUUUCUUCUCUCCUGAACAUCUGACGAGCAUUCUCUAUGCCUAAGGAGGAGUUUUAACAAACAAAUCAAUUGGCUCCAAUCCCUGGGGCAGUAGUUAAUUUCUGGUGCAGAAGUGCACAAUCCAGGAUUCAAAUAACCCCAGAGGAACCCCACAGAAUGCAGCUCAAACAACCCAUAGGCCUCACAGAGGCUGGUUUAAGUGUGUUCUAUUGUCAUUGAAUCACAGAUUUAACUAGAUCUUUAGCCCACAUCUGGGUUAUUUUAAAACGUUGAUCCAACCCACGCUCUGAGUUUCCUCUUCCCUCCUGCAAUGUUUUUUGGACAUUCCAAGGAGAAUCUUCCAUCUUGCUCUAUGACCACCCCAUGUGGCCCAGCUGUGGCCCCAGCAGUCACUAGUCUGAGCUGUGGCCAUUGGUGCUACAGCUGGGCCACAGGUGGGUCAUAGAGCACUACUGCCAUUACCACUGCUAUGAGAAGCCCAGCUUGGACGCCCUCCUACUUCGUGAGUUUACGACAGUGUGCUGCCGUUUUGGCCACUGCUGUUAUUAUUUCCCAAAUGUUGAGUGCUGAAGGCAACCUGGCCUCAGUGGCACUCUAAGAAGGGGACUCACUCUUUCCCUUUGUAUGAUAUGCUCUGCUAGGUGGGGCCCACAGCAGGAAGGCUCAGUCCCCUGAAGUGUUAGGGAGUGUGAGUGCGCUUCCUUCCUUUUUCUAUAGCCUGU
rnacentral:lncRNA from 10 species